rnacentral:rRNA from 1 species
GGUAGCGAAAUUCCUUGUCGGGUAAGUUCCGACCUGCACGAAUGGCGUAAUGAUGGCCAGGCUGUCUCCACCCGAUACUCAGUGAAAUUGAACUCGCUGUGAAGAUGCAGUGUACCCGCGGCAAGACGGAAAGACCACGUGAACCUUUACUAUAGCUUGACACUGAACAUUGAGCCUUGAUGUGUAGGAUAGGUGGGAGGCUUUGAAGCGUGUACGCCAGUCUGCGUGGAGCCAACCUUGAA